CCGAGUGAGGGUCUCCGGCCCGACCUCCAACCCUUUGUUGACCAACACCUGUUGCCUCGGGGGCGACCCGGACGCCGACGCGUCGGCGUCGGGCACCCCGAUGGACCAUUUCAACCCUGUAUCUGUACGUCGGAGUGAUUAGCGAAUCAAUCA
rnacentral:misc_RNA from 1 species